CCCUUAGAUGUUCUGGGCCGCACGCGCGCUACACUGAUGCAUUCAACGAGUCUAAAACCUGCUCUGAUAGGGGUGGGUAAUCUUUUGAAUGUGCAUCGUGAUUGGGAUAGAUGAUUGCAAUUUUUCAUCUUCAACGAGGAAUGCCUAGUAAACGCAAGUCAUCAGCUUGCAUUGAUUACGUCCCUGCCCUUUGUACACACCGCCCGUCGCUCCUACCGAUUGAAUGAUCCGAUGAAUAUCAUGGAUUGAGGAUGCAAGUAGGUUCGCCUAUCGUCAUCUUCGAGAAGUGAAGUAAAUCUUAUCAUUUAGAGGAAGGAGAAGUCGUAACA
rnacentral:rRNA from 1 species